rnacentral:rRNA from 1 species
GAACGCGAAGAACCUUACCAGGUCUUGACAUUGAUGGACAGAACCAGAGAUGGUUCCUCUUCUUCGGAAGCCAGAAAACAGGUGGUGCACGGUUGUUGUCAGCUCGUGUCGUGAGAUGUUGGGUUAAGUCCCGCAACGAGCGCAACCCCUAUCUUAUGUUGCCAGCACUUCGGGUGGGAACUCAUGAGAGACUGCCGCAGACAAUGCGGAGGAAGGCGGGGAUGACGUCAAAUCAUCAUGCCCCUUAUGACCUGGGCUACACACGUACUACAAUGGGAGUUAAUAGACGGAAGCGAAACCGCGAGGUGGAGCAAACCCGAGAAACACUCUCUCAGUUCGGAUCGUAGGCUGCAACUCGCCUACGUGAAGUCGGAAUCGCUAGUAAUCGCAGGUCAGCAUACUGCGGUGAAUACGUUCCCGGGUCUUGUACACACC